AUGCCCCCCUCCCAAAAUCCAACUGCUGGCGGAGGACAGCGUGGGGUUGGGGAGGUUUUCGACUCCAGGCUGGGUCUAACUGCAGAUCUGAGCCCUGCCAAGGCUUCACCCCUGGCCUUGGUCACAGCCCUGCCCUGUGCUGUAAUUUGGAGGGGAGGGCAAGGGAUUUGUCACCCCCUGCCUCAGUUUCCCCGUCCAAACAAAGCCCGGGAGGGAAGGGCAGGGUGGGGAUCUGCUCCUCCUGACAUCCACCCUGGGGUGCCCCCCACAUCCCGCUCUGCUGGGAGGGAGGGAAAACAGCACCCAAAUGAGCUGGUUUUCCAUGAGACAGCACACAGGGGUCUCCCCCUUUCCCUGUGCCGGGCAAUGAGGGGAGGGGGGUCCCUGCAGGGCCAUGACAGAACCCUCUGGAAAGGGCUGGAAGCAGCAUGGCUCGGUGUUCCCAGCACACCCCACCCAUCCCUGCCACGCCGUGCUGCCGAAUUCCCCCUGCCAGCCCCGCCCCGAUCCACCGGGAACUGGGAAGGAGCAGGAGGAGACGCCGAUCAGCUGAGUCACUGCCCGGCUUUUCCCUGGCGGGAUUAUGUCGCUCACCUCCAUCGGAGGUGGGGAAAAAUCAGAAUAACCCAAAACAUCCUCUUUUUUUUUUGUUUUUUUUUUGUUUUUUUUCCCGCUGAUCCCCCCCCCCGUUUUAAGCCUUGGAAAGCGGAAUUCCAAAGGAUGACUCAGGCACACCUCGGACCGUGCCCUGUCUGUGCUGACGAGCAGCUGCUACAUUUGAGAUUCCCGAUGUCACUCCGGGGCAAUGAAAGGCUCCUGUGUCACCCCUUCAGGGCAAACCGAGCCACGGGGCUUCGAAAGAGCCUCUUCCCUGGGGGGAUUUAUCCCCGGGGAUCCAUCCCCGGGUUUCUUGCUGCACAAGAGCAGCAGCAAAUUAUUUUAAUGGUGAUGGGUGUCGUGGACAUGGAUUUUAAGGCUUCAAAGGGGAGAAAAAAGGGAGUUUAG
rnacentral:lncRNA from 1 species